UCCUGUCUCGCGAAAAGUGGUCCUUGCGACCGCCUGCCCUCCAUCUAUAAGUGAUGGAAGGGAUAGCGAGGCGGGUUAUU
rnacentral:ncRNA from 12 species